rnacentral:rRNA from 1 species
UACGGAGGGUGCAAGCGUUAUCCGGAUUCACUGGGUUUAAAGGGAGCGUAGGUGGCUUUGUAAGUCAGUGGUGAAAUCUUAGAGCUUAACUCUAAAACUGCCAUUGAUACUGCUUAGCUUGAAUCACGUCGAGGUGGAUGGAAUAUUACAUGUAGCGGUGAAAUGCUUAGAUAUGUAAUAGAACACCGAUUGCGAAGGCAGUUCACUAGGCGUGUAUUGACACUGAGGCUCGAAAAGCGUGGGGAUCAAACAGG